AGCAGCAAAAGGUGACUCCCAGCAACAGUAAAUACAACUGAAAUGUUCUUCAAGUCUUAACGUUUCUCUGAUGUAUUUACUCACUCUGUAUUCCAUUCUAUGAUUUCACUUUACCAGACACAACCCAACUGGACCAAGAUCCUGCGUUCCAAGCAGCUCGGACCCAAGAUGGAGAUGUUAAACUGACGCAUGAACAACAGCUGCAAAUUUACCUUCAGUGCAGCUGUGGAGGCUGGAGAACUUCAUCCAGGGACAGGACCACCUGGAGAGAAGUUGUCCCCUACGUUCAUGGAGGCUCAGUGCACUCUUCGCUCCCUCCAGCCUCCGGUCCAGAUGAAGAGGAGCCUCCCAGUCCUAACCACAGAGGAAGUGUGUUUAUCACUGCUUUCUCUGUGCUGCUGGGUUUGGGUCUGGGUCUGUUGGCCUCCAUCUGCCAACA